GCCCCCAUGGUCUAGUUGGUUAGGGCGCCGGUCUCAUAAUCCGGAUAUCGUGAGUUCGAUCCUCACUGGAGGCA
rnacentral:tRNA from 2 species